AUUGAACGCUGGCGGCAUGCUUUACACAUGCAAGUCGAACGGCAGCACGGGGGCAACCCUGGUGGCGAGUGGCGAACGGGUGAGUAAUAUAUCGGAACGUACCCGGAAAUGGGGGAUAACGUAGCGAAAGUUACGCUAAUACCGCAUAUGCCCUAAGGGGGAAAGCGGGGGAUUCGCAAGAACCUCGCGUUUUCGGAGCGGCCGAUAUCGGAUUAGCUAGUAGGUGAGGUAAAGGCUCACCUAGGCGACGAUCCGUAGCUGGUCUGAGAGGACGACCAGCCAC
rnacentral:rRNA from 1 species